GACAGAGGUGCCGAGCGUUAGGCGGAAUCACUGGGCUUAAAGCGUGUGUAGGCGGGCGGGCAAGUACCUUGUGAAAUCCCACGGCUCAACCGUGGAACGGCUGGGUAUACUGCCUGUCUUGAGCCAACUAGGGGCGAGCGGAACAGACGGUGGAGCGGUGAAAUGCGUAGAUAUCGUCUGGAACGCCAAAGGUGAAAACAGCUCGCUGGGGUUGUGCUGACGCUGAGGCACGAAAGCCAGGGGAGCGAACGGG
rnacentral:rRNA from 1 species